UACGUAGGUGACAAGCGUUGUCCGGAUUUACUGGGCGUAAAGAGCGCGCAGGCGGUCGUUCAAGUCGAGUGUGAAAGCCCCCGGCUCAACUGGGGAGGGUCAUUCGAUACUGUUCGACUCGAAGGCAGGAGAGGGAAGUGGAAUUCCCGGUGUAGUGGUGAAAUGCGUAGAUAUCGGGAGGAACACCAGUGGCGAAGGCGACUUCCUGGCCUGUUCUUGACGCUGAGGCGCGAAAGCUAGGGUAGCAAACGGG
rnacentral:rRNA from 1 species